rnacentral:rRNA from 1 species
GGGGCAGCACGGUCUUAGCUUGCUAAGGCCGAUGGCGACCGGCGCACGGGUGAGUAACACGUAUCCAACCUGCCGUCUACUCUUGGACAGCCUUCUGAAAGGAAGAUUAAUACAAGAUGGCAUCAUGAGUCCGCAUGUUCACAUGAUUAAAGGUAUUCCGGUAGACGAUGGGGAUGCGUUCCAUUAGAUAGUUGGCGGGGUAACGGCCCACCAAGACUACGAUGGAUAGGGGUUCUGAGAGGAAGGUCCCCCACAUUGGAACUGAGACACGGUCCAAACUCCUACGGGAGGCAGCAGUGAGGAAUAUUGGUCAAUGGGCGAGAGCCUGAACCAGCCAAGUAGCGUGAAGGAUGAAGGCUCUAUGGGUCGUAAACUUCUUUUAUAUGGGAAUAAAGUAUUCCACGUGUGGAAUUUUGUAUGUACCAUAUGAAUAAGGAUCGGCUAACUCCGUGCCAGCAGCCGCGGUAAUACGGAGGAUCCGAGCGUUAUCCGGAUUUAUUGGGUUUAAAGGGAGCGUAGGUGGAUUGUUAAGUCAGUUGUGAAAGUCUGCGGCUCAACCGUAAAAUUGCAGUUGAAACUGGCAGUCUUGAGUACAGUAGAGGUGGGCGGAAUUCGUGGUGUAGCGGUGAAAUGCUUAGAUAUCACGA